AAGUCGUAACAAGGUUUCCGUAGGUGAACCUGCGGAAGGAUCAUUAACACGUAUCCAAACGUUAAACCCCCCUGUGUACUCGUACGUCCGUUAGAAAAAGCAGCAAUCCCUGGUAAAUCAUCGCCGAACAGUUUUCGAUUCAGGGACGUCUGCAAGGAGCUGCAUGUUGUGCGAAGCAAGUGGCCUGGCAUCCCGUUAGUGUCUGAAAGUGUCAUUAACUGUGUAAGGAUGACGCAGUCACGAUCGUUGGAGGCCCACAGCCGACGACCGGGUCACUGGGCGCAACUAACAAACGCUGCUAAUCGCGGCCGCGAUAAUACGCAUCGACCAAAAACCGAAGAACUGUUAACAAUGGAUAUCUUGGUUCUC
rnacentral:misc_RNA from 1 species